GGAAGUACUGUAGCUCAGUGGUAGAGCACAUGAAUUCACAUGCAAAAGAUCCCAAGUUCAAUCCUGGGCAUCUCCA